rnacentral:rRNA from 1 species
GACGAACGCUGGCGGCGUGCUUAACACAUGCAAGUCGAGCGGGAAACUUCGGUUUCCAGCGGCGGACGGGUGAGUAACACGUGGGCAACCUGCCUCACAAUGAGGGAUAGCCUUCCGAAAGGAAGAUUAAUACCUCAUAACACAAGAGAAACGCAUGUUUCUUUUGCCAAAGAAUUUCGUCGUGAGAUGGGCCCGCGGCGCAUUAGCUUGUUGGUGAGGUAACGGCUCACCAAGGCUUCGAUGCGUAGCCGACCUGAGAGGGUGAUCGGCCACAUUGGAACUGAGACACGGUCCAGACUCCUACGGGAGGCAGCAGUGGGGAAUAUUGCACAAUGGAGGAAACUCUGAUGCAGCAACGCCGCGUGAGUGAUGAAGGUCUUCGGAUUGUAAAGCUCUGUCUUCUGGGACGAUAAUGACGGUACCAGAGGAGGAAGCCAUGGCUAACUACGUGCCAGCCGCCGCGGUAA